rnacentral:lncRNA from 1 species
CUUGGAAAAAUGGUGUGACAUAUAGAGAAAGAUCCUGACUUUGUGUCGGGUCUGUUUUAUUCUUUUUUUCCUUUAUUUGUGGCAAGGGGUGACUGUGUGUUCUGGAUUAGAGAUCAGACAAAGGGUAAAUGAAAGUUGUUAAAGUUGUGAAGAGGGACAGAGAAGUAAAGUGAUGUUUUCCAUAGUGUGAAUACUUUAACACGAAAUUAAGAAUUAAAAUCAGUAAUAAUAAUAAUAAUAGUAACAACUGUUUUCUUUCCAAAGGUAAAAGCAUAGCAAGAAAUAAAACAAAUAGGUUUACAGGACCACUGUUGAUCUAAGUUUUUAGAACAAAGUAAUUCUACAAAAACCAUGACCAGAAAGGGAAAAUUAGUUUAACUCCAAUUACAUUGGUAGGGUGUAAAUUGUCAGGCCUGGACUAGAGGGAGGACUCAGACGCAGAGGUUCAAAGUUCAACAAAUGCUUUAUUUUGAAAAUCGUCUUCUUUCUCAGUAGAUGGAGUGAUAAAUAAACAGGCUAUGAAAACCUUCUACCUAUCUACUAAGGAUGGACAGACAAACACAGAAACAAAAUCAAACCAAGACAGAACAAAAAAAUCACUCCAAAAGGGAGGACAAACUAAAAGGCUAAUCUUCUCUAAUCUUCAGAGGAAUCACUAUGAAAAAUUUAGAAACAAAAGGCGCUCCAAAAGGAGGGAAACAAAAGGGCUACAAACUUAACUACACUGCACUACUAGGCUAGGAAAAACUGUAAGAAAACAAAGUCACUCCAAAAGGGAGGAAAAAACAACAAGGCUAUGAAACAGAAGCUAGAUCUAAAAACUAAACAGGGAAAAAAACUACAACAGAAAAUCACUGGAGGAACACGAAUAAACGAGACACUCUGGCACAGGACAAAGGGAGACGCCGACUAUAAGACACAUGAGGUUAAUGGGGAACAGGUGGAAACAAUCAGGGAUCAGGGGAGACGUCAGACCGGAAACACAAGAGCAGCUCUGCUCUAAGGACAUUGAGCUGCUGGCUGUGAGUUUGCGGCCUUAUUACCUGCCGAGGGAAUUUUCGCACGUCAUCGCGUUAACUGUUUACAUCCCCCCCUCGGCUGAGGCUGCUGCAGCCUGUGAACUCCUCCAUAAUGAAGUGUCCAAGCUACAGACAUCACACCCUCAGUCUCUGAUCAUCAUCUCUGGAGACUUUAAUCAUGCAUCGCUGUCCUCCACUCUCCCUACCUUCAGCCAGGAUGUAAACUGCCCAACAAGAGACAAUAAAACUCUGGACUUACUGUAUGCAAACACCAAGGAUGCAUACACCUCCUCCCCCCUUCCCCCGCUGGGCCGCUCAGAUCACAACCUGGUGAGACUGCAGCCCAUUUACAUACCUAUGGUGAAGAAACAACCCCCCACCAUCAGGUAUGUUAAGAGGUGGUCUGAGGAGGCCACUGAGGCGCUGCAGGACUGUUUUGAGACCACAGACUGGGAUGUACUGUGCGGCCCACAUGGUGAUGACAUCGACACCAUGACUGACUGCAUCACGGACUAUAUUAACUUCUGUGUUGAGAACACCGUACCCACCAGGAAAGUACGGUGUUUCUCCAACAGCAAACCCUGGGUGACCCCGGAACUGAAAGUCCUCCUGAAGGAGAAGAGGAGGGUCUUUAAAUCUGGGGACAAGGAGGAGCUGAGGAGGGUGCAGAAGGAGUUGAAGAAGAAGAUCAGAGAGGGAAAGGCCAGCUACAAGACCAAGAUGGAAAACCUUUUGCAACAGAACAACGCAAGGGAGGUCUGGAGAGGCCUAAAAUCCAUCUCAGGUCAUAGCAGGGGCCAUGAGAGGGGAUCUGAAGCAGGAGACAGGGAGUGGGCCAACGAGCUGAAUCUGUUCUUCAAUAGAUUUGACUCUACUCCCACUCCUCCCCCGACUCAUCUAACCAACGACCCGUCUGCUGCUCCUCCUUCUUCUUAUUCUUAUUCACACCACCUCAGUCCCAUGGCACCGACACCAUCAACCCCCUCCACUCAUCCUC